rnacentral:rRNA from 1 species
UACGUAGGGGGCAAGCGUUGUCCGGAUUUAUUGGGCGUAAAGAGCGUGUAGGCGGCCUUACAGGUCAGCUGUGAAAACUCGAGGCUCAACUGCGAGCCUGCGGUCGAUACGGGCAGGCUAGAGUUCGGUAGGGGAGACUGGAAUUCCUGGUGUAGCGGUGAAAUGCGCAGAUAUCAAGAGGAACACCUGAGGUGAAGACGGGUUGCUGGGCUGACACUGACGCUGAGGCGCGAAAGCCAGGGGAGCAAACGGG